UACGAAGGGGGCUAGCGUUGUUCGGAAUUACUGGGUGUAAAGCGUAUGCAGGCGGAUCGUUAAGUCGGGGGUGAAAUCCCGAGGCUCAACCUCGGAACUGCCUUCGAUACUGGCGAUCUUCGAGUCCGGGAGAGGUGAGUGGAACUCCGAGUGUAGAGGUGAAAUUCGUAGAUAUUCGGAAGAACACCAGUGGCGAAGGCGGCUCACUGGCCCGGUACUGACGCUGAGAUACGAAAGCGUGGGGAGCAAACAGG
rnacentral:rRNA from 1 species